AGUCCAGAACACUCUUUGUUCUCUCUGGACCACGUGGUUUGGUGAUAUUGUGUUUCAAGUGUGAGCUGCUGUCCGGGGGGAGGUUUCAGCAUGAGUUGUGGUCAGGAGUUCACGAUCGCUGCUCAGGUGAAUCAUUGCUUGGAAAGGUGGGCUGCACAUCAGUAUUGCCACGUGGGCACUUUUAAGUACCGAAAGGCUGCAAUAAACUGACCCCGGAGCCCUCUCCAGGCUGAACAACCCCAACUCUCUCAGCCUGUCCUCAUAGGAGAGGUGUUUCAACCCUCUGAUCAUUUUUGUGGCCCAUCUCUGAACCCUCUCCAACAGGUCCAUGUCUUUCCUGUACUGAUGGCUCCAGAGCUGGACCUGUACUACAGGUGGGUCUCACCAGAGCAAAGGGGCAGAAUCACCUCCCUCAACCUGCUGGCCACACUCCUUUUGAUGCAGCCCAAGAUAAAAUUGUCCUUCUGGGCUGCAAGCACACAUUGCCAGCUCAUGUCCAGCUUUUCAUCCACCAGUACCCCCAAGUCCUUCCCUGCAGGGCUGCUCUCAAUACCUUCAACCCCCAUACUGUAUUGAUGCCAGGGGGUUGCCCUGACCCAGGUGCAGGACCUUGCACUUGGCCUUGUUGAACCUCAGUAGAUUUGCAUAGGCCCACUUCUUGAGCUUGUCCAGGUCCCUCUGGAUGGCAUCCCAUCCCUCAGGCAUGUCAACUGCACCUCUCAGUUUGGUGUCAUCUACAAACUUGCUGAGGGUGCACUCGAUCCCACUGUCUAUGUCAUAGAUGAAGAUAUUAAAUAGCACUGGUCCCAGUACAGACACCACUUGUCACCAGUGUCCAUCCAGACAAUGAGCCAUUGACCACUACCCUCUGGAUGCAACCAUCCAGCCAGUUCAUCAUCCACUGAACAGUACACCUAUCAAAUCCAUAUCUCUCCAAUUUGGAGACAAGGAUGUUGUGGGGGACUGUGUCAAAGGCUUUACAGAAGUCCAGACAGAUGACAUCUGUGGCUCUUUCCUUGUCCACUGAUGCAGUCACUCCAUCACAGAAAGGCACUAGGUUGAUCAGACAGGACUUGCCUUUGGUGAAGCCAUACUGGCUGUCUCAGAUGACCUCCCUGUCCUCCAUGUGCUUUAGCAUUGUGAUAACCUUGAAGCACCCCCCCCCUCCAUCUUUAGCAGAACAAAGGACCAUGUUAUGCCUUAAACAUAUACAUUUUGUUACUUUGGGAGGAUUAGGUAGAUGGCUGUGGAGGCAGGCAUCUCAUCUUUCCCAAGGUUUUGUGUUCAGCUGUGGUGUCAGACACCUUAAUCAGUGAAGGCCCCAUGGCCUAAUUGGGAUGAUAAUUGGAAUGACAGAGGUGAACCACCUGUUGGAAGACCAAUUAUCAGAAGAAACCAGGAACCAACAGCUACCCCUGACAGGCAAAACAACUCACUUCUGGUCAGUACCGUGAACUUUUCCCUAGUUUGAAGACCCCAGACCCAUUUCCAGAAGAGUCUUCCCAAUUAACAUGAAGAGCAAACAACAGGAGGAGAUUAACCGCCCAUGUGUAAAUGAACUGAGUUAUAAAAUGACCUCGUGCAUGGGAUCAGGCGUGGUGUGUAUAUGCUGCGCAGCAUGACUGAACUCUUCAUUGCGACCACCCUCCUUCCAUAGGACAUCAUCGCUGGACUGAUAACCUGUGGAGUGGUGAUAUCUUACUCUCUUUUAUAUCAGUUUUCCUUCUCUCUCUCUCUUUUCCUUUUUCUUGAACAUACAAGGGUAAUAUCAUUAAGUUCUGCUGCUAAAGUCUUGUUAAGUUUUACAUUAUAGUUACUAAUCAUUGCCAAUCCACUGUUUUUAGAAGGACUUUUGCUGUCAAUGUAUUGAUAAGUUUUGUGAUAUUAUACUUUUGCCAAGUCACUAAUCGCUGUAAUUUGUAUUCCUCCAAGUGCUUUUAGUAAAUUCAUAGUUGAAUUGGA